rnacentral:rRNA from 1 species
UACGAAGGGGGCGAGCGUUGUUCGGAUUUACUGGGCGUAAAGGGCGCGCAGGCGGCUCAUUUUGUCAGGCGUGAAAGCCCCGGGCUUAACCUGGGAACUGCGUUUGAUACGGAUGGGCUAGAGUUCGGGAGAGGAGAGUGGAAUUCCCAGUGUAGAGAUGAAAUUCGUAGAUAUUGGGAAGAACACCGGUGGCGAAGGCGGCUCUCUGGACCGAUACUGACGCUGAGGCGCGAAAGCGUGGGGAGCAAACAGG